rnacentral:rRNA from 1 species
CGUAAAGCGUCUGUAAGUGGCUUUUCCGUCGUCAAAUCCCAGGGCUCAACCCUGGAUAGGGAGUGGAAACUACCAAGUUGGAGUAUGGUAGGUGCAGAAGGAAUUUCGGAUGGAGCGAUGAAACGCGUUGAGAUAAAAAAGAACACCAAUGACCAAAGCACUUUGUUGGGCCGACAUUGACACUGAGAGAUGAAAGCUAGGGGAGAAAAUUGGAUUAGAUACCCCAGAAGUCCUAGCCGUAAAUGAUGGAUACUAAGUGUUGUGCGUAUCAAACCACGCAGUGUUGUAGCUCAUGCAUUAAGUAUCCCGCCUGGGGAGUAUGUUCGCAAGAAUGAAACUCAAAGGAAUUAACGGAUGCCCGUAGAAGCGGUGGAGCAUGUAGUUCAAUUCAAUGCAAAGCAAAGAACAUUACCAGGGCUUGACAUGCCAUGAAUCCUCUCGAAAGAGAAGAGUGCCUCGGGAACGUGGGCACAAGUGGUGCAUGGCUAUCGUCAGCUCAUGUUGUAAGGUGUUGGGUUAAGUCCCGCAACGAGGGCAACCUUCGUAUUUAGUUGCCAACAUUGAGUUUGGAACCCCGAAUAGACUGUCAGUGAUAAGCCAAAGAAAGGUGAGGAUGAUGUCAAGUCAUCAUGCCCCGUAUGCCCUAGGCGACACAUGUGCUACAGUGACCUGGACAAAGGGUUGUGACCCCGCGAGGGCAAGCUAACCUUCAAACCCAGCCUCAGUUCAGAUUGCAAGCUGCAACUUGCCUGCAUGAAGCCAAAAUUGCUAGUAAACAUCAAUCAACCAUACGACGAUGAAUCCAUUCCCGCACCUUGUUCACACUAUGGGAGUUGGCCAUGCCCCAAGCGUUACCUUACUAGAACAAUGUAGCCGUCUAGAAGGGCGGUAGAUCACCUCCU